ACAGAGCCGGCGGGCUAAAACUUUGUUAUCGAGGGCAGAGCGAAACCGGAGGGUUUACUAAGCUGUGGCUUCACGUAAACGUUGACCAUCCACUCAACAGCGUGCAUCGACUGGUGUGUUAAAUCACUGAUCCCAGCAGUAUCUGACAGAACAACAGGAUCUGACGCAUUAAAAGGACAACAUGUUGUGAGGACGAACAUCAACCGGUGAAAGUCUGCAUAAAGAGCCAUCUCUGCUGCAUGAGCUGCUUCUUUCAACCCCCAGCAGCCUUUCAUCUCGCCUGGAAAAAUGCUUCCUCUGCCCCAACUUUAAUUAGUUUUAGCGCGGAUUGAAGGAAAAGUUGGUUCCCUCUUCAGGUGAUAAAACACU